CCGCGCUUGCGCGCUGCCGUGCCGGGGCCGUAGCCAUGUUCGGCGGUGGCGGCGGUACUCGCCUCAGCCAUGUUCGGCGCGCAGCGGGGCGCCGCGUCUGGCGGCGGCGAGCCGGGCGCGCCGCGCAGUUCUGUGCAACAUCCACACUGCUGGAAUCAAGAACAAGAGUGUAGAAGCUGGAAUGAUGCAGAUUCCUUGAUGUUAGACGACUAUCAAUGCAGGCAUUUAGACCAAUGGCUGGAGAGCUCUACAGCACCAGAACAUUCUAGGCCUCUUUCUAGUUGUCCCCACUGGGAAGAUAGAAUUGAAGAAGGCAAAACAAUGAGGACACCAAAUAAAAAAAUUACAAAUUCUGUUUUAAGUGAUUCUGCUAAUCCAGCUGAAAGGGAGACAGAUGAAGUGGUUCUGAGGAGAAGACAAAAACAAAUCAAUUUUGGGAAGAACACGCUUGCCUACGAUAGAUACAUUAAAGAAGUUCCAAAGAAUCAGCGAAUACCAGGAGUUCAUCCCAGAACUCCCAACAAAUUUAAGAAGUACAGCCGUAGGUCCUGGGACCAGCAGAUAAGGCUGUGGAAGAUAGCACUGCAUGCCUGGGAUCCUCCUACUGAAGAAACCUGGGAUCUGCAGCCAGUUAGUACAGAAGCCUCAGGCAGCUCCCAGGAAUGGUUCUGCAAAGAUGAGGAUGUUCCUGGCUGCUUUGUAUUUGACAAAAAGCAGAAGAGAAUUGAGUGUGAAGAUGAAUGCAGACAGGCUGACUACACACCAGAGAGUCCCUGUUCUCCUGAUUCUUCUCCAGUUUGGAAACGCAGAAGAAGGAACAAUUCUGACUCCUCUGUGGUUUCGAAGAGCAAAGCCCAUUAUGUGCGUAUGUACCACACACUGGAAAGUCUUAACGAUUCAGGACAACAGGAAGCUUUUCCAAAGUGCUCAGAGUGGGAAGCCUUCAGUGAAAAUGACCAAGUAAUGACAGUACAACAUGGUAUAGAAAUAACAAGUGACCCAUUUCCAGCCAGUUGUUCUUCGUCGUGGAACAAUCAGAAACAAGAAAAGCCCAACUUCUUCUUGCCUGAGAGCGAAGUUUGCAGAGAUACAGACUGCAGGCUGGAGAGGCUUAAACUUUGUAGCAGUUUAUGGGAAGGACAUCAGUCAGAGUACCCUGAAGGGGGAUGGGGAAGUGCAAGUGCUGAAGAUAGAAUAAUGAAGAAAAAAAUUUAAGUACCAAGUCUCUCUUUGUAUAUAGAAGUAUUGAAAGAGGAGGACUUUCUUCUGGAACAGACAGUGAUUUGAAGAUCAGGGAUGUAGUCCGAGAUCAGCAGAUGGAGUCAUGGAAAACUGGUGCUAUUGCUUAAGAUGUGCUCUGAAAGAGGAAGAGAUUUACAGUCAGCAUGUGUACAGUCAACAUAAGGUGAAAUGUGCAGAUUUCUCCAGAUCUUUAAGGACAGAUUAUUUUCCGCAAGCUCUGCCUCAAGCGUAAAACUUCAGAUUUCGUUAAGGCCGUGCUGCAACCACGAUGGAGAUUCCUUAAAGCUUUUGUGAGAAAUGUUUCUAUUGUACCUGCGUUGGCAGAUGACACGUGCCAUUGUAUUGUAAAGGCUACUACAGUUAAUGGAUCCUGCUGUUUGGAGAUCAUGCUACCUAGAGUGCACUAAUACUAUACUGGUGGAUUGGUCCGAUAAUGAGCCUGAAGAAUGUCACCCCUUAAACCACAGAGUUAAGCGCUGUUUCCUCUACUGGAUCAGGACUGUACAUCCAACCUGAAGAACUGCUUCAAAAGCAUGUAGAUAAUUUCAGCUUUUCUCCACUUCUUAAACUGUUCUUUUGGAUUGGGUGAUAAUCCACUUGGCUUAUUUACUGUUCUCUGAGAUAAGAUACAUUAAGCUAGUAUUUGCCUAAGCCUAGGGAUAGAAGGAAGAAGAAAGGUAGGUAGUUUAUCAAAUUGAGAUCCUUCUUUUAAGGGGACUGUAUGAACAGCAACACAGCCUAAAUACCUGGAUAUUGCUUUUAGGUGUGUUGCAGCCUGAUCUGCAGAGCCGAUCUGCUGCUAAGAGUAUGAGAGACGAGUUCAGUGCCUUUUGUUCCUACAAACAUUAGAGGUGAGCAGCAGUAUUUGCAGGUUUGGAGCUGCUGUGAGUGCGAGGUGUCUAGACAAAGGGUUGUGAUGGUGUUGAGAGAGGCUCUUCUGUGUUUUACUCUUUUUAGCGCUGUGCACAGAAGUUCAAAGUGAAGGCCGUAACUGCAGUGGAGUUUAAACCAGAUUUAUGUGCCAGUUACAAGGACAUUUUACAAUCCUUGUGGCAUUUUCUGUAACAUGGGCUGGGAUACAAAUACCUGUUAGAAGUGGGUGUUGUCUCAUGGCAGGAGUUGGGUUUGGCUUUUCACAAGGCUGCUGUGGAAAUAUGGCAGUGCUAUGGAUGCACAUAGCAGCCAUGUUGUGGGAAUCACAGCAUACCCAAGGGCUAAAAGCCCAUUAUGCUACUGAUGUGGAAGGAUCUGCUUCCCCAGAAACAACUCACAGUCCCUUCAAAAACACUAUUUCCAGGCAUGCUCAGGCAUAUGGGGUUCAGUAGUGUCCCAGCACAAGGGUGGCUCAGUUGCACACCCCAGCACACAGAGUGUGUGUGUGUACAAGGAACACAUCUGUACAGCAAUUUUUUGAGAAGUAAUACUUAGAACCUUGUUGUUCUGGUGUGCAUGCUUUCAUGUGAUUUAUGAUGGUUGUAAAUAAGGGAAUGUGUUACACUUUUGGCACUUUGUCUUUAUGCAGAAGAAUUAAAAACUUUAAAUAUCCGUGUUAAUCUGCUUUUGCUGUUAUGUUGUCAGAGGCCCAGUGUAAGAGGAUUAUAUGGGUUCAGUAGUCCCUUUUUAGUUUGUUUUAGGGUAUUUUGUUUACUUUGGGCUUUUUUUAGUCUUGCUAAAAGGGGGAAGGAAUGUGUUUUAGGGAUUAAAUCAGACCAUCAAAUUGUUUACAGUUAAGGUUGUGUCCAACUGCUCAGUUUGUAUGUUGACAUCUUGUCAUGAACUUAUAUUUAGUGCAGUGUAACCUAGUGGAAAGGAGCAGCUAAAGCCCCAGCAUCCAUUCUGCUGUGUGUCCUUCUGGAGAGGAUGGAGCUGUGAGGUGAGAAUAGGCUGUCAUGAAAUAUUUAAGCUCAGCUCUCAGAACCCUUAAGCUUUUGCCCAUGAUGAAUGGGGCUUGCAGUGGAUUUAUGGACAUAAAUCCUUGGGAUUUGUAAUUGAGCAGUCCUUAGAAGAUCUUGUAUUCCUCAGUUGAAGAUACUUAAGCUAGAAAUAGAAAAACCAAUCUGCUAGUGGCAGUUAAAUUUUGGACAGAUUUAUUCCUUAAUCCAGGUUCUGUACAUGUGGAAGAGCUAUGGUAGCACAAGGAAAGGAAUGAAAUGGAGCAGAUGAGGUUUGAGGUCUGGUAAAGGCAUUUCAUGCAGCACUGCCACUGGAUGCAGAACCAUGAUUAAGACUUCAAAUUAAUAAGUGACCUCAACAGUCUAAAUGGAGCAGUUAAAACUGGAGUGUAGUCCAAUCAUUCACUUGUUUAUCUGUCCAAGACUUACGACUGAGGUAAGCAAAGCUGAAUUCUGGCACUCUACCCCCAGAUUGUAUUUGAUAGCUUUCCAUUAAUUUUACCUAUUUUAGUAAAAUCCACUUGGAAUAAAUCUGUGCUCAGUUCAUAUUGAAGCCAAACUCUGAACUUCAUGAGCUGGGUUUAAAUUUCUUCUGAGAAACGACAUGUGUCUUCUGUUGGUAUCUUUCUUCCACUGGGAGAAUCUCCCUACAGAUGGUACAUUAUCUGUGCUCGUAGCAACAAGGCUUCACUAGGAGUUCUGAAGUGCAGUUGGUUAUGUGUAUUCUGCUUUGGUUUUAAAACUGCUCCUUUGAGGUCACAGCGGUGAGGCUACUUCUUGCUCCCUUAAAAUUCCCACUGUGGUGAGAAAAUGUUUUUCUGAAGAAUUUUCUCUGCUCACAGGGACAGAUUUAAUUCCUAAGCUGUCGCAGCAGGUAGUUCUGCUGGAUAAACUGAUGUAGUGCUUUUGCCUGGGCCAGGUUUUUGGUAGCAGGGAGGCUACAGGAGUGGCUUCUUAAAACAAAGAUCUACCAGAAGCUUCCCCUAGAGCUGAUAGGGCUAGGGCCAGUCAAUCCUAAGAUGGACUCCACAACUGACCUAGGCCUGGCCAAUUAGUGACAGAGGUAACACCUCUGUGAAUAACGGAUUUGGGAAGGGGAAGAAGUUGCUGCUCAGUUGCUGAACUGCAGCAGCAACAGGGAAUGAGAAUGUGAAAACAUCUCUGCAGACACCAAGGUCAGUGGAGAAGGAGGUGCUUAGGCCCUGAAAGAAAGACUCCCUUGUGACCUGUGGUGAAGACCAUGGUGAGGCAGCUGUGCCCCUGCAGUCCAUAAAGCCACAGGGGAGCAGAGAUCCACUCACAGCCCAUGGAGGAGCCCACGCCAGCGCAGGUUUGCUGUCAGGACUUGUGAUCCCGUGAGGGACUCUGGCUGGAGCAGUUGGUACCUGAAGGACUGUUCUCCUGGUGGAUGACCCAUGCUGGAGUAGUUUGUGAGGAACUGCAGCCCAUGGGAAGGACUCACGCUGGAGAUGUUCAUGAGGGACUGUCUCCCAUGGGAGGGACCCCACAGUAUAGCAGUGGGAAGAGUGAGGAGGCCUCCCCCUGAGAAGCAGCAACAAGGUCCAUGAACUGACUGCAACCCCCAUCCCCUGCACUGCUUGGGGGGAAGGAAGGAGGAGAGUCCUGGAGGAGGGAGGGGUGGAAGGAGGUGUUUUAAGAUUCAGUUUCAUUUCUCAUCUCACUGUUCUUAUUGUUCAUUUAAUAAUUCAAAUCUUUUUUCUCCCUGAGUCUGUUUUGCCCGUGACGCUAAUUACUGAGUGACCUUCCUGUCCUUAUCUUGACUCCCAAACCUCAUUAUAUUUCUCUCUCCUCUGUCCAAUUUAGGAGGGGGAGUGAUAUUAAGACUGGUCGAGCACUUGGCACCCAGCCAAGGCUAAAGCACCGCAACUGAAAUUAACUUGGGCGUAGUGUCAUGCAUUUCACUGAGCAUGGAGCCAGCCCAACUGUAACCCCCAAGGGCAGGAGACAACCUACAACAGAGAUCUCUGAGAAGGAAAGUCCAGCACCUCUGUACAACAUUUAGGGGAAACCCAGUGAGCUCUUCUCAAAAUACUACUCAUUUCAGCCAAGAGCACUAGGUAUGUAGACAUCCCACCCAAAAAAAAAGCACUGUUAAACAGCUAAAGCACCCUUUCCAAACACAUCCUUAGCGGUAAUCUUUGAGAUACAUACAUAUUGUGAGAACAUAGAUGCAAUUCAUACAAGUGAAACACUUUAAGUGGAGGAAAAAAAAUGUGAAAUCAUAGAAGAGUCAAGCAAAAUAAUGCCAAAAAAGCCAGCUGCUGAGGUUUCAAACUUUAAUUUCUAAAAGCAAUUGCAAAUAAUGGCCUGAAGACUCUUGAUCUGGUCUGGUGCAGUUCCCAAGGCAGGCUGGCAGGGAGCCAUUGUCUUCCCAUUACUGAACCUGUUAGUGUUGCUGGCAGUGGUUGAAUAAUGCUUGCACCUUUUUUUGUAAAAAUGAUGUGAAUUUCUCCAACUUACAAGAAGAUAAUAAGGAACAAGGUUUGUCAAUUCACCAUGAAGAGCAUCUUCAAUACGUCUGAGCAAUCCUGACUUUCACUAAGCAGGUGCUGCUUCUUGGCCUUCAAGACCAUGUGUGUAAUUCUGCAGUGAUCUCUGGUGGAAGAAAAUUCAGCUAUCUGUUUUUACUGUGGUGAUCUGAGACUCUUACUUGACCUCUACCUUGCUGUUAUGACCAGAGUUAAAAGUAGCUGCAGAUACUGUGCUGUAUGGUUUUUCACAACCUUGAAUAAAGCCCCUUUCUGUAUCUGCAAACUGAGAAGGGAGUAAGGAAGGAGCUGCUUGGUUAUUUGCCACACUUCAACUGGGAUGUUCCUAUAGGCAACUCUGUUCAACCAUCCAAGAGGGCUUAAUCAAGAAACAGGAAGAAUUUCUGCAAGUACUCAAUAGGAGCACUUCAUGAGGAAGUUGUAGUUUGUAAAAACCAUGUUUUAUUUCCAGAGUAGAGAUGCAAAUUGUCCCUCUCACUUUAUGCUUCAGCCUUGCUAUGCAUGAGGUAUCUUCAUUAAAAAAAUCAAACCAAAACACCACCUGUCAAGAUAUGCUUGAAAAGUCUCUCCAGAAACAUUGCUGGGCUGUGGCAGUCAUGUUUGUGUUUAGCUGCUCUAAAAAAAACCUCAGUAACAACUACAGACAAACUCCACUUUUGUUUGUUAUUUCAGCCAUCCAUCAAACACAUUUGGUUGCUGAUGGUUCAAGUGUUACUCAGAUACAGCCUGUCAUAGUAGUGGUUAUUAGUAGUAGUGAAGGUUCACUUCAGCCAGGUUCAU